CCGAGGUCGACUUUGCCGUUCAUUCUUUCGAGGUUGAUAAGUUAAGUAGUAGUGAUACACUGGGGGGUCAAUGUAAUCGACUGGUUCCCUCCCCUAAAAUUACAGGCCUUGUGCCUAUAUUAGAAAAGAUUAUUAUCAUUAUUAUUAUUAUUAUUAUUAUUAUU